GUGAUUAACCUGGCUGCGGCAUUCCCAUACAGCGGGUGUCCCUGCGUGCCGCCUGCCCGGGACGGGCAGCCGGGGAGGGAAGGCAGCCGCAGCCCCGCCACUCGGAGGAGCCGAGCCCGGACGUCUCGUCGCCUGCCCGGCGGCCGAAAGGAUGACAGAAAGGACUGUUUCGUGGGGACGGUGCGUAGGGCUCCGGCCUGUGUCUCUCCAGGGAAGGGACUUUCCAGAGAAAUAAAUCAAGAAAAAAUAACUGGUUUAAUUUCCCUCCACCUAGCAUCGUUUUUUCCCGGCUGUGCAUAGGAACCUUGGAGCAGCAUGAAGGGCUGUGUGGGACAGAGGCUCCUCCGGGUGCUGGUGCUCCCACUGACAGUGUGCUGUACUUUCCUCUGGCUGCUGUCAAGGUGUUGUAGAGAUUCCCAGUGUGUGGAAGUGCAAGGGGGACUUGUGAGCCUACGCACCCUGCAGGGAAACAGAGAAGGAAAAUUUGUUGUAGUAUUCAUCUGUGCUGUUUGCUGCUUUGACAUGUGAACUGCAACUUACGUAGAUGUAAGGGACAUAGCAAUGUAACAGAGGCAGGAAGCAUCCAUGCUGACAGUCGCGGUUGGCAUGUUCUUGUUGGACACCGACAGGCAGUACGUACUGCAUGGCUUCCCCUCCCCAGGCCGGAUGCAGAAAUGUGGAGCAGUUACAGCCAGUUCCUGCUUAGUUCCUUCUUACCAGUCAGAGGCUCAAAAUACCUUGGUCAUGGUCAUUCAAGGGUCUGACAUUAACUUUAUUUUAGUACCAGCCACUACCAUUUCCUUAGUGAGACGGGUAGAUUACUUAACACAUGUUCACCUACUCUCAUGCAGGUCUACUUCAACACUAGACUACGUAGAGAAGAUGCAGUUUGCACCAAGUGCAUCCCUAUAACUUAAAUUUGCAAUGGAAAGACCUAUUAUGGGCUUUGGCUCUCAAUAUCACAAAAUAAAAAUAAUCGGGUGGUCCUAGGUAGCACCUGGCUGCACAUGGAUCUUCUUAUUUAUGUCUAUUGUUUUCAUCCCAUGCAGUCAUGAAGCUUGCAGAAGAUAAAAAUGUAGCCUGUAAUCUCUUUAUAAAUUCUAGAAAAAAAUUCACAGCUGUGUCUCAUGACUUUCAUGAAGGAGGCUGAAGCAUCAGAGGCAUACAAAGUUCUUUCCCAGAAUACAUUGAGAUGAAGGCCCUGGAGAAUCUCACCCCAGAGAGUUAAUCAUCCCAAGUGACCUCAGUAAAAACUUCUUAACUUUAAACCUUGGUCCUCAGAGUGCAGGCUUUCCUAGUGGAGCAAUGCAUGUGAACUGACAUCUGCAAAGACAAAAUGAGCAAGCUCAGGAGAUAAUUGCUCAUGAUCCUAAGGAGUUACUGGAGCCAGAUGAACCUGAGAUUGCAGUCAACUGGGCUGUGCCUCAGGAAUCCUUGAUCAAAUCACACUUCCAGGCUGUGGUCCAUAAUGGUUGUCAGCUGCUGCCUUAGUCUACAGCUUCACUGCGCCUUGGAGACAACCACCUCCUGCUUUUAUCUGUGUCGACUG